UUAAGCCAUGCGACCCCGACCCUUUCUUCCUCUCUUCCCGACUUCUCCUCUCCGCUUCCUCGUGUCUCUGCUCCAAGCGAUCGGCGACCAUUUUCUUCUUCUCGGCGUCGCAGGUACGGAUCGUUCUUGGAGGGUGGAGAAGGGAAACAUUUCUAGUCUCCGAGCUUCUUCCUUCUCCGACUACUUCUUCCUCUUCGGCUACGGCAAGCGGCAGCGACAAUCUUGUCGUUGCCGCCCUAAUUGCUUCCACCGGAGGAAAUUUAGCCCGCUACUGGUGAAAGGGGCAUUUAGGGCUCCGAGGGGAAAAGUCUCGGAUCAGAUCUUGGUCCUCCUCUUCUUUGCUGCUGAUCUAGGUCACGGUUGGAGAGGAAGGGGACAGUGAGAAAGAGGUAAGUAGGGUGGAAUCCAGCAGGGAGGUGUUGUCAGUGGGCUUUCUUGGGUUCCAGCAGCAACUACCCUUUACUGGCAGCAGCGAUCCUUGAUUGUGGAUCAUCAGAUGAGGGCUGUGAGGUGAGGUUGAGUGCUGUGGAUCUAGAGCUGAGGGGUUUUCGUGCGUCCAGCAGCAAACAAUACCAAAUUCAGCAGCAAUGGCAGCUAUGAAUUGAGGACUCUGAUUUGAGACGGGCGUCUCGACGUCGGAUUUGACUAGAUUGGACCUUCUAUUUGAGGCAGGUUGAGGCCGUCAGGAGAUUCCAGUCGCUAGUCCCUUGUCGUGACGGAUUUUGGAUUUUAGACUUUUUAGUUCCUUGUUAAGUUUUGCUAUACUGUGGACUGUGUGGUUGUAUUUGUGGCCUUUAUGUCGAGCAUUUGGGUUCGCUACUCUUGUUUUCCGCUGUGGUAUAUUCAUUACUUCGUGGAUUUCAUUUUCUUUGUUGUAGUGGAGUAGGUUUACAUAUAUCUACAUUGUUUUCUAUAUCGUCCUUUCUUUUUAGUAAUAUCUGUUGUACAGCCGGAGGCUGUACUAUUAUAAACUACGUGGAUUGAUUAUAAACUUCGUGGAUUGUCUUUAUUUC